GGUCAGCUGACACAUCCCUGCCAAUCUCCGGCAGACCCUCCCUCCCAGACCCUCCCACCUCCUGGACAGCAUUCAUGUUGAAGCUGCCUUCAACAUGGAUGCUGUCCAGGAAGUAGGAGGGUCUGGGAGGGAGGGUCUGCCGGAGAUUGGCAGGGAUGUGUCAGCUG